CAUGAAUCUGAAGUUCCAGGAAUGCCUAAAGUCAAGGAACGAUCCUUUCAAUUAGCCGACUGAGCCCUUCUCCAAGGUAUGACAAAUUUACCUCCAUCUCCUCCCAGGACGACUGCUGAGAAAUGGCAAUUUCCUGCGACUGUGACUGAGUCCACACACAUGUGCUUCUGAGUCCGACUUCUCGACAUGUCCUGGAGUCUGGACCUCUCGUCCUGUUUUCCGUCUGCCUCCUGGCCGCAAAAUUGGUAAUUUUCUAGUACAUUUAUUUCCACAUGUCAGGCCAGUCAAGUUGGUAACUCCAGACCGCAUCUUCAUGUUGAUGGACAUGUGAGUGGGCCUCCAUGAGAUGGGACAGUGGUAGGCUUACGAACCGGAUGCCGGAAUUGUUGCAGGCUUUUAAGAUUCCACACCCCAACCGCCGAUCCGCCGGAAAAGCAGCUGCCGGAGGACUGGCCUCAGCCAUUAGCGCUAAUCUCCGCACAAUCGGGAAUAAAUCAAGGCACGCUCUGCACUCUCUGGCCGGAAAAUGCAUUCGGCAUUCGGUUUUCAGCAUUUGGCAUUCAAUUUGGCUCACAGUUCACCGGGCAGCAACAAUGUAGUAACUUCCUAGUCCCGGCGAAACACCGUCCACCUCACCCUGCGACGUGUGCUCGUUUUCAGAUUCAGAUUCUGAUUCGGAUCCCCAGGUUCAGAAGGUGUAACUAAUCCGCUGGCCAUGUGACUUUUGUCAUGCGCCGAUGUCAAACACUAUAUGCCCGAAAUACGAAAAUCGACGCCCGACUGCCGAUGAACCCUUGCCAAUCCGGUGGCAAAGGCAUUCCACUCGAUUCCACCCCGAAUACACGGCCUUCCGAACGGCCUUUCACCUUCAAUCAACGGACCACCAACUCCACCCCCAUUUAUCCUCCCUCCAAUUGAUUUCAGUGUUCACUUCGAAUUGCCGCUUGUAAUCCCUUGAUUUGGGAAUGCACUUGGAAAAAAAAAUACGAAAUUGCCUAGU
rnacentral:lncRNA from 1 species